rnacentral:lncRNA from 1 species
CCAAAUGUCUUCGUGUUUUUGUUUUACUUCGUACCGUAGCAAGAGAGAUGUACUUUCGUUUCGUCUGCUUGUUCCUACAUCGUGCAGUCGCGUGCACUGAAAACGAAACUAUGUCAUUUUCUAACCUGU